rnacentral:tRNA from 1 species
GCUCCCGUAGCUCAGCUGGAUAGAGCAUCUGCCUUCUAAGCAGACGGUCGCACGUUCGAAUCGUGCCGGGGGUACCA